rnacentral:lncRNA from 1 species
UAACGAUGAUGGAGAUGUCCAUUCACCUUCUAUGUGCAGUUUAUGGACGGUCCCAUCGGUAUUGAUACUGUAAUUUUCAAAGACGAUAUCAGAUGAUGUUAUUGAGAUACUUUAAGAACAAGACCGGCGAUUUAGGAUCGAAGCAUUUCGAACGAGAACCUCAUGCUGCCAACAGCUAAAAUCAGCCCCCGUUUCCAUGUGAAGGCGAUGCUUCGUCAUCGGAGUGCACUCCUAUCAAGGUGCCUUCACAUUUGCUCCGCGAUCGGACUGCAAUUGGCCAAUGGAGCUUUUUCUGCACCCCUAUCCUUCCCUUUAAUGACUUCUGAACCUGUUUCAGUAAUAAUUUCAUCAAAGUU